CCUACGGGUGGCAGCAGUGAGGAAUAUUGGUCAAUGGCCGAGAGGCUGAACCAGCCAAGUCGCGUGAGGGAAGACGGCCCUACGGGUUGUAAACCUCUUUUGUCGGGGAGCAAAGCGAACCACGUGUGGUUCAUUGAGAGUACCCGAAGAAAAAGCAUCGGCUAACUCCGUGCCAGCAGCCGCGGUAAUACGGAGGAUGCGAGCGUUAUCCGGAUUUAUUGGGGUAAAGGGGUGCGCAGGCGGAGGUGCAAGUCAGCGGUAAAAUUGCGGGGCUCAACCCCGUACUGCCGUUGAAACUGCAUCCCUUGAGUGCGCGAGAAGUAGGCGGAAUGCGUGGUGUAGCGGUGAAAUGCAUAGAUAUCACGCAGAACUCCGAUUGCGAAGGCAGCAUGCCGGAGCGCAACUGACGCUCAUGCACGAAAGCGUGGGUAUCGAACAGGAUUAGAUACCCCUGUAGUC
rnacentral:rRNA from 1 species